rnacentral:rRNA from 1 species
AUGAUGUUGCGGUUGAUGCUUAUGAUCAGCAGGUCUCUGCUUAUUCAGAUGCUCUUUCUGUGUAAUGUGAUGACCUGUCUGCUUACACUCAGUGGUGCAAUGAUGAUGCUCGUGCUGCUGCUGUUCUCACUGCGAGUGUCCUCCCUCAGUUUGCUUCGGAGUUCAUGGGACUUCGCACAGUUGCAGCGAUGUGGUCUUACCUCUGUCAGCGCUAUCAGCCCUCUGGUGAUGCUCUCUACCUCUCUGUGGUGCGUCAGGAGGACGCCCUCCAGCAAGGUGAUUCUUCUGUUGACGAGUUCUAUUCAUAGUGCUCUGCCAUCUGGCGCCAACUUGACUCUCUUCGGACAGUUGUUUGUGGAACCUGCCGUUGUUGUCAGACUACUCGGUCUGAUCUGGAGUUUUAGAGGGCUCAUGAGUUCUUAUCUCAUCUCCGGUCUGAGUUUGAGCCUCGACGGGCGCACCUGCUUGCUCGUGGCCGUGUUCCUAUCUCGGAGGUCCUUGCCGAGCUUCGUUCUGAGGAGACCCGCCUUCGCUCUGCUGGGUUGCUUCUGGUUCCGUCAGUAUUGGCCGCCCGAGCUCCUGUGUCAUCUGCGCGCCUUACUGCUCCGCCGCUCCUGCCUACUCCUCCAGGGGGUGAGCCGUCCUCCUUAUGCUGAGAAGGGCACGUCGCGCCGUGACACUUUCUGUGGUUACUGCUCCCGGCCAGGUCACCCAGAGUCUGAUUGUCGCCAGAAGAAGCGAGAUCAGAGGCGCUCCUCUUCCAGUGGGACUCUUGUGUCUUCCUCGACUGCGUCACUCACUGACCAGGAUAUUGUACGCCUCAAGCGUCUACUUGCUUCCUCUGGCUCCUCGUUGACUGGUUCCGUUGCAGCUGUGACUGCCUCCCCUUCUCCACCACUGUCGGCAUCUUCACAGUCAGGUACAUCUUCGUGGGUUCUGGAUUCUGGAGUUUCCUUUCAUAUGUCUUCUGAUUCUUCCGCGCUGUCUUCUCUCCGACCUCUUGAUUCGCCUGUUAAUGUUCUUACCGCCGAUAGCACACCUCUUCCUGUUGCUAGUCGUGGUAUUCUUUCCACUCCAUCUUUUUUCGUUCCGAGUGUUUCACAUGUUCCUCGCCUUACCAUGAAUCUUUUUUCCGCUGCCCAACUUACUGAUUCUGGUUGUCGUGUCAUUCUUGAUACCGACUCUUGCUCCAUUCAGGAUCGUCGCACCAAGGCUUUGGUUGGUGCUGGCCCCCGGCGCCGUGAGUCAGAGGGCCUUUGGGAGGUUGACUGGCUGUGUGUUCCUUCCACUGCCACCACUUCUGCCAGCUCUCAUGCUCUUGCUGCCUCUUCGUCUGCGUCCUUCCAACAGUGGCAUCAUCGCCUUGGUCACAUUUGUGGCUCUUGCUUGUCUUCUUUAGUUCGUCAGGGCCUCUUAGGGUCUGUAUCUGGAGAUGUCUUUACAUUGUAAUGGUUGCAGACUUGGCAAACAGACUCAGUUACCUUACCCUACCAGUGAGUCGGUAUCUCAGCGUCCUUGCUCCCUUUGAUUCGAAAGGUGGUCAUCGCUAUUAUGUUUUGUUCAUUGAUGAUUUCUCUUGCUACACUUGGCUCUACUUCAUGAAAUCUCAUAGCGAGGUUCUCCCUAUAUACAAACGAUUUGCUGCCAUGGUUCACACCCAGUUUUCCACGCCCAUUCGUACCUUUCAUGCUGACUCUGCUGACGAGUAUAUCUCUCAGCUGUUGCGUGGUUUUCUCGCGGAACAGGGUACUCUUGCCCAGUUCUCUUGUCCUGGUGCUCAUGCUCAGAAUGGCGUUGCCGAACAUAAGCAUCGUCAUUUGCUUGAGACGGCUCGUGCACUGAUGAUUGCUGCUUCCCUUCCACCCCAUUUUUGGGCUGAGGCUGUUUCUGCAUCCACCUGUCUCAUCAACAUUCAGCCAUCGACUGCUUUGCAGGGUGGUAUUCCUAUGGAGUGUCUCACUGGUCGCUCUCCUGACUACUCUGCUCUUCGUAUGUUUGGAUGUGUGUGCUAUGUCCUUCUUGCCCCACGAGAGCGCACCAAACUGACUGCUCAGUCGGUUGAAUGUGUUUUCCUUGGCUACAGUGAUGAGCACAAGGGCUAUCGCUCUUGGGACCCUAUUGGUCGUCGCUUGCGCAUUUCGCGUGACGUGACCUUUGACGAGUCUCGCUCUUACUACCCACGUCCUUCUUCCUCGACCUUCUCUGUGGACGAUAUUUCCUUUCUUCUCCUUCCCGAUACACCUGGCUAUGUGCCUCACGUUUCACCUCUUCCUCCUACACCUCUCAUUCAUUCUCAUUCACCACCGACACCAUCUUCUCCAUCCUCCUCCUCCACCUCUACACCACCAUCUCCCGUCCAUCACCCUCUCUCACCGUUUCAUCUCCACUAUACUCGUCGCCCUCGUACUGAGGAUGCUUCCCCUGACGGUGCACCUCCGUUCACGCCUACCCCGUUUCAUAACCUCCGUGCCCGGCCUUGCCCACCGCCUGAUCGCUAUUCUCCUGAUCGGUACGGUCUCUCUGUUAUUGCUGAGCCCACUUCCUAUCGUACUGCCAUGACUCAGCCUGAAUGGCAGCUUGCGAUGGCCGAAGAGCUUGCUGCCCUUGAGCGCUCUGGCACAUGGGAUCUGGUUUCCCUCCCUUCCUGUGUUCGUCCCAUUACCUGCAAGUGGGUCUACAAGAUCAAGACUCGCUCCGAUGGUUCUCUUGAGCGUUACAAAGCCCGUCUUGUGGCCCGUGGCUUUCAGCAGGAGCAGGGACGCGAUUAUGAUGAGACAUUCACUCCUGUGGCCCAUAUGACCACUGUCCGCACUCUCCUUGCUGUGGCUUCUGUUCGUCAUUGGUCCAUCUCUGAACUUGAUGUCCAGAACGCUUUCCUCAAUGGCGAGUUACGUGAGGAGGUUUAUAUGCAGCCACCACCGGGGUACUAUGCUCCUGAUGGCAUGGUCUGUAGACUUCGUCGCUCCCUCUAUGGUCUUAAACAGGCCCCUCGCGUCAGGUUUGAGCGUUUUGCCUCUGUGGUGACUGCCGCUGGUUUCUUGCCCAGUGAUCAUGAUCCCGCGUUGUUUGUCCACACGUCUCCUCGUGGUCGAACUCUUCUUCUUCUCUGUGUUGAUGACAUGAUCAUCACUGGUGACAACUCUGAGUACAUUGCCUUUGUUAAGGCUCGCCUUCGAGACCAGUUCCUCAUGACUGAUCUUGGUCCUCUUCGCUAUUUUCUUGGGAUUGAGAUCUCCUCGGCCUCUGAUGGCUUCUACAUCUCCCAAGAAAAAUAUAUUCAGGAUCUUCUUGCUCGUGCUGCUCUCGGUGAUGAACGCACAGCUAUGACUCCUAUGGAGCUCAACGUUCAGCUUCAUGCCUCUGAUGGUGACCCUCUUCCUAAUCCCACUCGCUAUCGUCACCUCGUUGGCAGCCUUGUCUAUCUUGCUGUUACGCGUCCUGACAUCUCCUAUCCUGUCCACAUCCUGAGUCAGUUUGUUUCAGCCCCCACCUCUGUCCACUAUAGUCACCUUCUCCGUGUUCUACGAUAUCUUCGUGGCACGAUCUCUCAACGCCUUUUCUUAACCCGCUCCAGCUCUCUUGAGGUCCAGGCCUACUCUGAUGCUACCUGGGCUAGUGAUCCCUCUGAUCGACGCUCGCUGUCUGCUUACUGUGUCUUUCUUGGUGGCUCUCUUAUUGCCUGGAAGACAAAGAAACAGACUGCAGUUUCUCGCUCGAGUACAGAGGCUGAGUUGCGAGCCAUGGCUAUGUUGACGGCUGAGGUGAUCUGGUUACGGUGGUUGCUUGAGGAUUUUGGUGUGUCUGCUACUACCUACACUCCCCUACUGUCUGACAGUACCGGUGCUAUCAGUAUUGCGCAUGACCCUGUGAAGCAUGAGCUCACCAAGCACAUCGGUGUGGAUGCCCACUUUGUGCGUGCUGCUGUGCAGGAUCAGACUCUCGCUCUUCACUAUGUGCCCUCUGAGUUACAGUUGGCUGACUUCUUCACGAAGGCACAGACUCGAGCACAACAUGGUUUUUUCCUCUCCAAACUCAGUGUUGUUGAUCCACCAUGA